rnacentral:rRNA from 1 species
ACUCAAAUGAAUAGACGGGGGCCCGCACAAGCGGUGGAGGAUGUGGUUUAAUUCGACGCAACGCGAAGAACCUUACCUGGGCUUGACAUCCCGUGACCGCGCCAGAGAUGGCGUUUCCUCUUCGGAGGCACGGAGACAGGUGCUGCAUGGCUGUCGUCAGCUCGUGUCGUGAGAUGUUGGGUUAAGUCCCGCAACGAGCGCAACCCUUGUCCUUAGUUGCCAGCGGGUUAUGCCGGGCACUCUAGGGAAACUGCCGGUGAUAAGCCGGAGGAAGGUGGGGAUGACGUCAAGUCCUCAUGGCCUUUAUGCCCAGGGCCACACACGUCCUACAAUGGCGCCGACAAUGAGCAGCAAGCCAGCGAUGGUGAGCGAAUCUCAAAAACGGCGUCUCAGUUCGGAUUGUAGUCUGCAACUCGACUACAUGAAGUUGGAAUCGCUAGUAAUCGCGCAACAGCAUGGCGCGGUGAAUACGUUCCCGGGCCUUGUACACACCGCCCGU